UAAUCGUCGCGCAAAACCACUUUGCGUGACGUCAAAUUGUAUACCUACGUCACGCCAAUUGAUAAUUUUGGCGGUCCAUAGCGAAAAAUAGGCAUUUUUUUUCAAUUUUUCCAAGUUUUGCAGCCAUAUAUCCUAUCAUCUUUUCUUCUCGGUUUUUCUUUCCGUAGACCUGUUUUCAGACCUCUUAUCCUCUUCCUCUUCCUCUUAUCAUCUUCCUCUCGGUUUUGCUUAAAUUGCAGACUUUCGGUUUUGCUUAAAUUGCAGACUUUCCUCUCGGUUUUGCUUAAAUUGCAGACUUUCCUCUCGCUCAAAUUGCAAAUCAAAUUGCAGGAGUAAAGUCCUGCGUCUCCUCUAUCUCUUCCCUCUUGCUCAUCUCUCCUCUUCGCAACCUUGAUCCUCAAAUCUUUAACCCAGACUUGUCUUCCCUCUCUCUUUCCCAUAGACUUCUCUCUUCCUUCUCGUUCUAAACGACGAGUAGCCACACGAAUCUCGAAGCCGACGGGAAUCAAGUCCCAAAAUCAAGGGUUGGCCAUCCACAGUGAAUGCAACACAUUCUUCACUCUUGUCAGAAGAGAACCACACUUGGAUAUGUGAAAAGAACAACCAAAAUCAAGAAACCAACUACUAGAACACUCGAUAGAAUCUGAGUUGAAUAUUUUGAAAUUAUGGGCACUGUUUGAAUCAGUGGCUCUCUUGUACUGGAUGCAACUAGCAUUCAAUUGAACCUGAGUUGAAUCAUUGAAAUUAUGGUCACUGUAUAAAUGACCUUACCUAUUGCCUUGCCCUGAGCUUAGGAUAGUAAUAUUGAAUGGCCAUAUGUCAUGACAAUAAUAAUUUAUUUGCCCUUGUGAUUCCUAGUAUUUGAUC